rnacentral:rRNA from 1 species
UACGUAGGGACCAAGCGUUGUUCGGAUUUACUGGGCGUAAAGGGCGCGUAGGCGGUCAGCACAAGUCAGUUGUGAAAUCUCCGGGCUUAACUCGGAAAGGUCAACUGAUACUGUGCGACUAGAGUGCAGAAGGGGCAACUGGAAUUCUCGGUGUAGCGGUGAAAUGCGUAGAUAUCGAGAGGAACACCUGCGGCGAAGGCGGGUUGCUGGGCUGACACUGACGCUGAUGCGCGAAAGCCAGGGGAGCGAACGUG